rnacentral:rRNA from 1 species
GUCGAACGCGCAGCAUUCUGUAGCAAUACAGGGUGUGGGCGCGUGGCGAACGGGUGCGUAACACGUGGAUAACCUUCCUUCAGGUGGGGAAUAACCCAGUGAAAAUUGGGCUAAUACCGCAUAACAUGACGAUGCCACAUGGUGUUGUCUUCAAAGCCGCAAGGCGCCAGAAGAGGGAUCCGCGGCCGAUUAGCUUGUUGGCGAGGUAAUGGCUCACCAAGGCAUUGAUCGGUAGCCGGACUGAGAGGUUGGCCGGCCACACUGGAACUGAGACACGGUCCAGACUCCUACGGGAGGCAGCAGUGGGGAAUCUUGCACAAUGGACGAAAGUCUGAUGCAGCAACGCCGCGUGGGGGAUGAAGCUUUUCGGAGUGUAAACCCCUUUCGACCCGGAAGAAUGCCCGCAAGGGUUUGACGGUACGGGUAUAAGAAGCCCCGGCUAACUACGUGCCAGCAGCCGCGGUAAUACGUAGGGGGCCAGCGUUGCUCGGAAUUACUGGGCGUAAAGGGUCCGUAGGCGGUGUGGCAAGUCGGGAGUGAAAUCUCUGGGCUUAACCCAGAGGCUGCUUCCGAAACUGCCAUGCUAGAGUGUGAGAGAGGCGAGUGGAAUUACGGGUGUAGCGGUGAAAUGCGUAGAUAUCCGUAGGAACAUCCGAGGCGAAGGCGGCUCGCUGGAUCACAACUGACGCUGAGGGACGAAAGCUAGGGGAGCAAACAGGAUUAGAUACCCUG